rnacentral:rRNA from 1 species
GUGCCAGCAGCCGCGGUAAUACGUAGGUCCCGAGCGUUAUCCGGAUUUAUUGGGCGUAAAGCGAGCGCAGGCGGUUAGAUAAGUCUGAAGUUAAAGGCUGUGGCUUAACCAUAGUACGCUUUGGAAACUGUUUAACUUGAGUGCAGAGGGGGAGAGUGGAAUUCCAUGUGUAGCAGUGAAAUGCGUAGAUAUAUGGAGGAACACCGGUGGCGAAAGCGGCUCUCUGGUCUGUAACUGACGCUGAGGCUCGAAAGCGUGGGGAGCAAACAGG